rnacentral:piRNA from 1 species
UAGCCAGGGAAAGAUAUAUUCUGAAAG